rnacentral:rRNA from 1 species
UAAAAACUUAAAACUUAAAAGACUUGACGGUACUUCACACCAACCUAGAGGAGCCUGUCUAUUAACCGAUAAUCCACGAUCAACCCAACCUUUUCUAGCCAACAGUCUAUAUACCGCCGUCGCCAGCUUACCCUGUGAAAGAAACAAAGUAAGCCGAACAGCACCACACUAAUACGACAGGUCGAGGUGUAACUAAUGAAAAGGCCAAGAUGGGCUACAUUCCUUAAAUCAAGAAACGGAUAAACUAUGAAACUAGAAAUUAAAGACGGAUUUAGCAGUAAGUUAAGAACAUAAUACUCAACCGAAACCAAUGCAAUGAAGUGCGU